GUGCUCCACUUCAGCAGCACAUAGACUAAGAUUAGAAUGAUACAGAGAAGGCUAGCACAACCCCUGUGGAAGGAUGACAUGCAAAUUUGUGGGAAAAAAAGAGGUAGA